GAGACUCAGACCGAGUAGUCCCAGGGUCGGCAUUGCUACUAGGUGAUUCAGGGGAGGUGACGGACAAUCAGGAAAACCACGAAUUUAAACUUUUUCACAGCACUUUAUUGCGGGAUCUUUGGGAAGUUGGAAGUGGUGUGUGGGUAUGUCAGUGUGGGUCGUUCAGGGGCUAUUCUUACCGCGCAAACUCAGCUGAUGAUCGCGCGCCGGCGACGUUCGAGCCGGCAGAGUGGCUUCCAGCCUCGACUCUGCGGCGACGGUCCCGUAAGGGGGGGGGGGGGGUUGUUUGCUGGCUGCGGCGGCUUGUUCCUGGCUGCGUUCGUCCGGUCCUUCGGUUGCCGGAUGCAGCUUCGUUCGCCGACCUUCGUAGGCGGCUCGAUUCUACGGCUUCGUGCCGGUUCCGGGUUGAUGGACGACCAGCGGGCGUUGCUGGCUCCGACGGGCAGGCGUCUUCCCUCCUUGACUAAUCGGCAAGCCCCGGAGUCCACCGAUUUGGGCUCGCCGAGAGGGGUCCCUCCUUUACGUUGAAGGCCAGCGGCCUGAGGGUGGUCGUCCUUGAUGGUUAUGGCGCGGGGAGGCGCCAGACGACGGGUUGGGGUCCUUUUACGUUUAGACGUAGGCAGAUGCGCAACGCGACUUACAAAGCCUAGGCCGACCAAUCCGAGACGGAGCGGGUGCUCUCGGAACCUCCGGGUUCCGACGAUGGCGAGGGCGAUUGGCUACCCUCCGCUGGAGCACAUCCGAACUGCUCGGACGCCUGAUUAAAAGAGGCCGAUUUUCCCCAAAUCGCGCUCUCUUGUUGAUUCCCGAGUCCAUGAUUUCCCACCAAUUUCCGUUUGACGUAAGUGGGCGCCGCCAUGCUACCCCACAGGAAAUUGAUGGGCAUCAGCCUCGUUCACACUAUAAGCUUCGCCCCUUCGCAACUGGCGUAGAGUGUAAUGUGGUGAAUAUGGGAAAUAAAGUGUUGUGGCGAAGCCUAUAUUCGUCAGGAUUGGAACCAACGGUUACACUAUCCACCACCCCGGCGAAAAAAUGUGAAAGCACGAAGUUCAUGAACAUUUUUUUAACGCAAAGCGUUUCCAAAAUCAUCUUCGGCUCUCCUUCGGUUCGUGGACUAGUGUAAUUGGUCAAAUUUCUAUGAGCACGCCUCAUUUUAGGCAAAAAUGUACUUGUCCAACUGCUACGCAAUCACAGUUCAUAUCAAUGUAUUUACAAAAUAAGCCAAAUUGGCAAAAAAUAACAAAAACAAUUAAAUAAAUUAAAGUUUAGACAUGCACUACAUAUUAAAAGAAUAAAUUAAAACAUUCCCAAAACAUUAGUAGACAACUCUAUUUACAACUCGUAUCAACGAUGUUAAUUUUCAUGAACUAUUUACAAUAAAUCCACUUUUAGAUCACAUUCGAUCUGAUUCGGAAUUCACCACAUGGGUUUCAUCCUGACUGGGCAACUGAUUGACAGUUCCCAAAAUGACAUUCAACUGUCAAAGUUAGCAUAUCGCAAUAUUUACAGAUGCGAAUAUGCAAAAAUGUAGUGCAGUUAACUUUUCGUGACAAAUUCUGGAGAAAAACGUCGAAAACUGGCCUUGUUCUCGACGAUAUGUUGCAGGUAAGUAACAAUACGUUAAAUUUUAACGAAGCGCUUCAAUUUAUAGGGUAAGUCGACAAAUCCUUGUCCGUCCCAACUGGGUUGGACUGUGGCGUGGAACAUCGCUGCCAGAACGCACUUUUUUCGCAAAAAGUCGCCUGCAGGAGUCCACUAAUGGUCCCGGGACACCGUGUAAGCCAUCUUGAUCAGCAAGAUGCAGCUACAGGCCUUUUGGUUUUCGGGCGAUCCCCUCACCGCAACACCACCAGCCGCGCUCGGACCGAGGGAAAUUACAUUUUAACCCCUUGGUCGUCCACGAACUGGCCCGUUGGGCUAUGGAUUCCCGAUUAACCUGGUACUCUCAACGUUUCGGAAUGACUGCUGGGAUAUCGUGGUAAUCCAGACCGGCUGACUUGGUCCAGGGAAGAUGGGACAACGCCGCAAUAAACCCCUAGCACCCAAGUCGGUGCCGAUCUUGUCCACAGAUUUCUUCAGCAUCUCCUACUAAGUUUAAGUUCUAGAAUUAAGAAAAUUUAAAAAGAAACUAAUGAAAGAAUAAAGUUUAUGGGUCGGGGCUUUCCCCUAUUUGGUUGCUUGUCUUCAAUUAAGAAAGAAACAAGGCUUUUAGGUACCUAUCACCUACCAGGGAUGACGUCACUUGUCAUAUGGCUGGGUCACGGGUGAAUCACAGGUGAAACUUUAGAUUAAGGAUCGCCUCACAGGACUUACUUAUUGCCUAAGUUAUCGGCUUCAUCCAACAGGUAAGAUUUGUUCAUUUACAGGUGCAAAUGUCUCUCCAGGGAUGACGUCACGUCAACAGUCUGGGUCUACGACAAAUUGUGGGUUCAAUCAGGUACAAAAGUUCCGCCGGUCUAUGGCAGACCCGAACGGACUGUGUUGGGACAAAUUCCGUCUCCAACGGACAUACGACCAAACGGUCGUCAAUCGAUUAUCUCGCUAACACUCUAUUUUCUGCGCAAAUUGCACUGGACGACUCGGUGGUGAUCAAGCACCAAGCAAUCCAACUCUUCUCUGCUUUGUUCUUGUUGUUGUUGCUGUUGUGUGUGCUAGCGGUAUUCACAAUAAAGUUGAUCGUCAAGUCCAAACACAAAGGGGACGAGACGAAAUAAAUAACACUGAUGCUGCUGCGUUGAUUGUCGUAUGAUCACACAAAAGGACGUUUUUAGAGACACAAAAAGUAUGUACAAGCAGCAUAAGUUUAUCAAAACUUGCUGCUAACCAAAAUCCACGAACUAAAUCGCGCCAAAGACGAUUUUGGAAAGCGCAAAGGUUCCUCUUUUUAAUCAGGACCGUAAUUAAUCGCAAUUCGAUGCAUUUCACAAUUUUUUUCGCUAGGGUAGGUGGACAGUGACCAACCGAGAUUGCUCGGAUUCCUGCCACCUCCCGUUGGAAAAAUCCUUGAUUUUUCUGAUUGAGGCCACCCACCGUGAUCACUUUUCGCCUUGUUUGAGCUGGGAGCCAAGUGAAACUUUUGGCUUGGCCAGCACAGAGCAAGAGACUCAGACCGAGUAGUCCCAGGGUCGGCAUUGCUACUAGGUGAUUCAGGGGAGGUGACGGACAAUCAGGAAAACCACGAAUUUAAACUUUUUCACAGCACUUUAUUGCGGGAUCUUUGGGAAGUUGGAAGUGGUGUGUGGGUAUGUCAGUGUGGGUCGUUCAGGGGCUAUUCUUACCGCGCAAACUCAGCUGAUGAUCGCGCGCCGGCGACGUUCGAGCCGGCAGAGUGGCUUCCAGCCUCGACUCUGCGGCGACGGUCCCGUAAGGGGGGGGGGGUUGUUUGCUGGCUGCGGCGGCUUGUUCCUGGCUGCGUUCGUCCGGUCCUUCGGUUGCCGGAUGCAGCUUCGUUCGCCGACCUUCGUAGGCGGCUCGAUUCUACGGCUUCGUGCCGGUUCCGGGUUGAUGGACGACCAGCGGGCGUUGCUGGCUCCGACGGGCAGGCGUCUUCCCUCCUUGACUAAUCGGCAAGCCCCGGAGUCCACCGAUUUGGGCUCGCCGAGAGGGGUCCCUCCUUUACGUUGAAGGCCAGCGGCCUGAGGGUGGUCGUCCUUGAUGGUUAUGGCGCGGGGAGGCGCCAGACGACGGGUUGGGGUCCUUUUACGUUUAGACGUAGGCAGAUGCGCAACGCGACUUACAAAGCCUAGGCCGACCAAUCCGAGACGGAGCGGGUGCUCUCGGAACCUCCGGGUUCCGACGAUGGCGAGGGCGAUUGGCUACCCUCCGCUGGAGCACAUCCGAACUGCUCGGACGCCUGAUUAAAAGAGGCCGAUUUUCCCCAAAUCGCGCUCUCUUGUUGAUUCCCGAGUCCAUGAUUUCCCACCAAUUUCCGUUUGACGUAAGUGGGCGCCGCCAUGCUACCCCACAGGAAAUUGAUGGGCAUCAGCCUCGUUCACACUAUAAGCUUCGCCCCUUCGCAACUGGCGUAGAGUGUAAUGUGGUGAAUAUGGGAAAUAAAGUGUUGUGGCGAAGCCUAUAUUCGUCAGGAUUGGAACCAACGGUUACAAA